rnacentral:lncRNA from 12 species
AGAGGUUUCAGAGCUGGUGGUGAGCACUGAGGUUUUGCAACUGGGAUUUCCCCCCUGUUUCAGUUUUCCCAGUGCUCUGACUGCAUAGUUAGUUCUGCAAGGCCAGGUUUGGUUUCUGAAUGAUUAAUGAUUAC